rnacentral:rRNA from 1 species
UACGUAGGGGCCAAGCGUUGUCCGGAUUUAUUGGGCGUAAAGAGCUCGUAGGCGGCUUGUUGCGUCGACCGUGAAAACCCGGGGCUCAACUUCGGGCUUGCGGUCGAUACGGGCGGGCUAGAGUUCGGUAGGGGAGACUGGAAUUCCUGGUGUAGCGGUGAAAUGCGCAGAUAUCAGGAGGAACACCGGUGGCGAAGGCGGGUCUCUGGGCCGAUACUGACGCUGAGGAGCGAAAGCGUGGGGAGCGAACAGG